rnacentral:rRNA from 1 species
UACGGAGGGUGCAAGCGUUAUCCGGAAUUACUGGGUUUAAAGGGUGCGUAGGCGGCUAUGUAAGUCAGUUGUGAAAUACCUCGGCUUAACCGAUGGACGUGCGAUUGAUACUGCGUAGCUUGAAUCAGGUUGAGGUAGGCGGAAUGUGGCAUGUAGCGGUGAAAAUGCUUAGAUAUGCCAUAGAACACCGAUUGCGAAGGCAGCUUACUGGGCUUUGAUUGACGCUGAGGCACGAAAGCGUGGGGAGCAAACAGG